rnacentral:rRNA from 1 species
UUUUUAUAUAAAAGUUAUUUUAUAAUUGUUAUAAUUAUAUAAGAAAUUAUAUGUGUUUGUAUAUUAAUUUUUAUAUUUUAUUUUGAGAAAAUUAGAGUGUUUUAAGCAUGAUUUUUCAAUGGAAUAGUGGAGUAUGGAAUAUUAAAAAGUUAAUGAAAUUGAUUUAUAUGUUGGUUUUAAAGUGUUAAUUAAUAAUUUUCAAGAAUAGUUGGGGGUAUUUGUAUUUAACAGCAAGAGGUGAAAUUCUUAGAUUUGUUGAAGAUAAAUUAUUGUGAAAGCAUUUAUUAAAAAUAUUUUUUUUAAUUAAGAACAAAAGUUAGGGGAUCGAAGACGAUCAGAUACCGUCGUAGUCUUAAUUAUAAACUAUGCUGAUUAGAGAUUAGAUGUUUUUAAAUAAAUGAUUUGUUUAGUAUUUUUAGAGAAAUCGAAGUUUUUAAGUUUUGGGGGGAGUAUAGUUGCAAGAUUGAAACUUAAAGGAAUUGACGGAAAGGCACCACCAGAAGUGGAGUUUGCGGUUUAAUUUGACUCAACACAAGAAAUUUUAUUAGGUCUAGACAUAUGAAGGAUUGACAGAUUAAUAGUUUUUUUUUGAUUUUAUGGGUGGUA